CAAGAAAGCAAGUGAGCAAGCCAUUGGGGGUGAGCCAGUCAGCAUGUUCCUCUGGGUUCCUGCUUCAGAUCUUGUUCCUGCCCUGACUCCCCUCAAUGACAGACCGGAGCAUGGAAGUAAAAUUUUCUGUCGCGUUGUGCUUCAAAAGAGGCUGAAGAGAAAGCAAAGGGAGGCUGUGUCAGCUGUCUCUAUGUGAUGGAUGUCCAUUCUUAACACGGCUCCUGGGAUCUCCACUCUGAAGUCUGCCUCUCUUCCUGCCCCGUCUAAGGGUGAACCUGAUUGUUAGCUGUGUAACUGCUCCUCUCCCCAGAGGACACUGGGGAGAAAGGACCUGGGGCACAUCAAUGGUGGCACCCAGAAGAUCGAGUCCCAGGCCACGUUGCUGAGUGAGCCACCUGUAUCAGUGUUCAGAAGAUGACUCAGCCGAUCAAGGUGCUCGCCUCGAAAAUCUGAUGAUCUGAGUUCAGUCCUGGGAACCCAUGCUGUGGGAGGACAACCAACUCCACAAAGAUGUCCUCAGACCUCCACACACAUGCCGUGGUAGACA